rnacentral:rRNA from 1 species
GGGGAAUUUUGGACAAUGGGGGCAACCCUGAUCCAGCCAUGCCGCGUGAGUGAAGAAGGCCUUCGGGUUGUAAAGCCCUUUUGUUGGGAAAGAACAGCAGCCGGCCAAUACCCGGUUGUUCUGCCGGUACCCAAAGAAUAAGCACCGGCUAACUUCGUGCCAGCAGCCGCGGUAAUACGAAGGGUGCAAGCGUUACUCGGAAUUACUGGGCGUAAAGCGUGCGUAGGUGGUGGUUUAAGUCCGGUUGUGAAAGCCCUGGGCUCAACCUGGGAACUGCAGUGGAUACUGGAUCACUAGAGUGUGGCAGAGGGUAGUGGAAUUCCCGGUGUAGCAGUGAAAUGCGUAGAGAUCGGGAGGAACAUCACUGGCGAAGGCGACUGCCUGGGCCAACACUGACACUGAGGCACGAAAGCAUGGGGAGCAAACA